rnacentral:rRNA from 1 species
GACUACUGGGGUAUCUAAUCCUGUUUGCUCCCCACGCUUUCGCACCUGAGCGUCAGUAUUGGUCCAGGAGGCCGCCUUCGCCACUGAUGUUCCUUCUGAUAUCUACGCAUUUCACUGCUACACCAGAAAUUCCGCCUCCCUCUCCCAUACUCUAGCAAGUCAGUUUCGGAUGCAGUUCCCAGGUUGAGCCCGGGGAUUUCACACCCGACUUGACAAGCCGACUACGUGCGCUUUACGCCCAGUAAUUCCGAUUAACGCUCGCACCCUCUGUAUUACCGCGGCUGCUGGCACAGAGUUAGCCGGUGCUUCUUAUGUAGGUUAAGUCAACCUCUUGCAUUAUUAGAGCAAGAGCUUUCGUCCCUACCGAAAGGGCUUUACAACCCGCAGGCCUUCUUCACCCACGCGGCGUCGCUGGAUCAGGGUUUCCCCCAUUGUCCAAUAUUCCCCACUGCAGCCACCCGUAGG